UGGAGUCGCGAUUGCUAAUUGGAGCUUUAUCGGAGCUUGUUACGAGACCAGCGGAGGACCAGCAUCAUCCCACAGAAGCACCAGUCAUCAAAGCCGACCAACGAUCGAUUGGGGCACUUUAAGGAAGACAGCGUUUUUCAUGAGGACCAGUGCUGCGUUUCCCAUGAGAACCAACGCACACCCGCAUAGUGUCUUAAAAUCAUGAUGGUCGCCUGCAGAUGGAUUAAACGACAUUUCUGUUUCCAGCGGCUAUGUGAAGGAUGAAAAGUAAUAAGGGUCAUGUUGAAAGUCGUCAUCCCCGAAUUACUGCAUGAGCACUGUGCUCAGUGCUGAGAGACACCUGGCCUUGCUGAGGGAGAGGUUUAACGGAGGGAAGUGACAUCGGAUACGAACAUGAAAUAAGGCUUUCAUGGAGGCUGAGAUGGGAUUGCUGUGAUAACUGGAGUACAUGGCAAUGGAUGCAAUCCCCUGCAUUACCUGGAACCUGACCAGCAAGCUAAGCUGCCUAUAAAGCCGUCUGGAAGUAAAUCAGGGAGUGGCAAGGGGACACCCGUCACUGUAUGCACCCCGGCUGACACCCGCAGACAGACAACGGCUUACCCUUUAGGAUUUUAAUAAAUCAGCCUCAUGAAGUUUCUGCAUGUACAAACAGCGUGAAGUUUCUUUCAACUUAUGCGUACUUUAUAGCAAGUAGCAGAUCAUAUUUUUUACACUGCACCGCAUCUGUCUGUAGAAGGUCAUUCAGAUAAAAAUCUGUGCGCUGCAGCUUAUUAUUGCAGAAUUACAACAUUAUCCACUGCAAUCCAUCAUCAAAUGGUU